AUUUAUUAUCAUGCAUUCAACUCCUCAGGUAUUUAAUGACAAGCUACUCAUAGCUUGUCUCAGAGCACCAGGAAUUCUGAGUCACAGUCGGGGUGUAAAGCGGGGCCCUGCAUUCAGGGAGCUGAGUCUGACUGGGAACUGGAAAGGCUCCCCUACCUCCCAUGACCGUCUGUGAGCUUCACCUGUGAGUGGCAGGUGCGCGUGGAGUCAGUUCCCCUCCAUGCCCGCCUGCAUUCCUACCCGGAGACCUCCGGCCGCGGUGGGAAUUGCCCUGCUGUUUUCAUUACUGCAGGUUUUUCUUCUGUAUUUCUGAACCCCUCAUAUCUCAGGGAAGGAAAUCCAGGGAGAAGUAUCUGUUGCGACCCCAUCUGUUGCAUUUUCUGAGUCUCCACGUUAAUGAAAGAGCAGCCAUCCAGUUUCCUGCAGUGCCGAGAGUCCUCGGGGCCUGUCAUUGUUCUAAAGGACAGAGGACACUGUUCAGAUGUGACGUCUGUCGCCAUUUCUGUCUCCUCUUAGCAAACUUUAAAGCCCGGAAAACCUUCUAUUUUCAAAGUAGGAAAAUUAGAUUACAGCAAAGCCAUAACCCUGUAUCUCUCCUAACCUUGCUCCCUAAUCAGGAAUAAAAGGGAAAUUAUCUGAAGAAUUAUCUAAUAUGUUCUUCAUCAGGAGAUCAUAAUUAAAUCAUAAUUGCCAUCCGGCAGCAAAAUGUGAUGAAAUUACCAGGGCAAACUAUUAAUUACUUCAAAGAUCCAUUUUAAUCGUAAACAGUUUAAUAUACCUCUAUAAAAAUUGCCAUCAGGCAGGCGCUUAAUGAGGGAGCUGUGAAGGCUCUGCUGUCCUUGGUGACUGGAGGAUGUUUUCACGAGAUCUUCACGGUUAUUUUCCAUUUCCAGUUCCUUAGGCCUGGCUCUUACAUUCUCUAAUACUAUGGGGAGUAGAAAUUUCUGCGUCCUCCUGGGUGGAGUGUGUGAGUGUGUGCAUACAUAUGUGUUUAUAUGUGUGUGUGUGCACUGUGUAGGUGAUAUGCGUGUGUGUGCGUGCAUGUGUAUGUGUGUAUAUGUAUGAGUGUGUGCUAGUGUGUGCAUUUGUAUAUGCAUGUGUGUAUGCAUGGGAAUGUGUGUAUGUGUGUGCAUAUGUAUAGUUGUGUGUGUGCAUGUGUAUGUAUGCGUGUGUGUACAUAUGUGCGCAUAUGUACUUGUGUGUGCAUGCGUGUGUGCAUAUUUAUAGGUGUGUCUCUGUGCAUGUGUAUGUGCGUAUGCAUGUGUGUUUAUAUGAGUGCAUGUGCAUUGUGUACAUAGGUACAUGUAUGUGUGUCCAUGUGCAUGCUGUAUUUAUGUGUACAUGUUAUGCAAUGUGCAGGUGUGUAUGUGUGUACAUAUGUACAUGUGUGUACAUGUGCAUGUGUAUAUAUGCAGGUAUGUAUGUAUAUGUGUACAUAUGUACAUGUGUUUAUGUCUAUGUGUGUGCAUGUGUGUCUGUGUGUGCAUGAGUAUAUACAUGUGCAUGUAUAUUUGUGUACAUAUGUACAUAUGUGCGCACAUGUGUUUGCGUCUGUGUGCAUGUUGUGUGUGUGCAGGUGGGCCGUUGCUUUGUAGUUUUGUGGGGGCUAAACAAAGGAUGUGCAUGAUGCUGUCCAUGUGUGCAUGUGUAUAUGUGUGCAUGUGUGUUUGUGUACGUAUGUACAUGUAUGUGUGUGCAUGUGUUUGUGUCUCUCUCUGUGUGUAUGUUGUGUGUGUGCAUUCGCGUGUAUAUGUGUGCAUGUGUGUUUGUGUGUGUAUGUAUGUGUAUUUGCUACGAGUGGUAUCUUGAAGAAAUGGGAUUGUGAGGAUGAAAGGGAAGAGUUUGUGUUCGCAGCCACACAUAAACUCACAGAAUAGCUUCUGAUGGAGCACAGUAAAUUUUGGAAUUAGGUAUGAGGAAGCAUCUUUGGUCAUUCUUAGUUCUUUGAGAUAUUUUUCAUUUAAAUGAAAACGUAUGCCUUUUUCUAGAUCUUGAUGCAAACAGUUGCAUCAAAGUGGAGCUUGUGAGUAAGAAUGCAGAUAGAAAAUCAUGGGAAUUAUUCACGUGGAUGACCUGAUUUUAUUCUAGUCUUACUUAUGAAGUCUUCUUCCUGCUCCACAACGAUUGAAGAGACAGGAAACAAACUUUUAAAAUUACGUAAAUAAACGGGCCAAGGGGAAAUACAAGAGGACAAGCAAAGACAGACACAGCUUUGCACUGCACUCGUGGCUUAUCUCACCAUGGACGCCAAAUUCAAACCUGUUGGCGACUCAUCACACUGGACUGACGGCACAAAGGUUCUUGGGAAAUAGAAUCAUGUUCAGCAUCAAGUAGGAAAAAAGUCACAAGUACUUGCAGACAAGCCAAUCAAAAUUGAAGGAAAAAUAGAAUCAGCACCUAGUGUAAAUUAACUUCAGAAAUAUGCAGUCAGGACUGUCCUUGCGGACUUGCAUUCUAGCUUCUGAGCUGAAAUUUGUGUCAUUAAACUGAUAUCUAGAUGAUGUACAUUUCUUGACUUACUACAAUUCAAAAAAAAUGAAACAAAUUACAUGAACACAGUGGCUAUCAUUUCCCCCUUGUGAAUGGCAUAGUAGCAGUCUAUACAAUUUUGGAUGUUGUCUUUCUGUUGACUGUUAGUUACUUUAGACUACAAAUCUCAGAACAUUUAAAUAAUGAUUUGUUACAUUACUCUAAACCUAAUUAUUUUAUAUUCACUCACACCAUCCCCUCUGUUGGUUCUGAAAUAAACUAUUCAAAGGAG
ensembl:lncRNA novel transcript